rnacentral:rRNA from 1 species
GCAAGUCGAACGAGAAAGGAUCUUUCGGGAUCUGAGUAAAGUGGCGCACGGGUGAGUAACGCGUGGACAACCUACCCUUGAAUUUGGGAUAACAUCGCGAAAGCGGUGCUAAUACCGGAUAACAUCAAGAUUAUUUAGGUGGUUUUGAUCAAAGAUGGCCUCUCCUUGGAAGCUAUUGUUUGAGGAUGGGUCCGCGUGCCAUUAGCUAGUUGGUGGGGUAAAGGCCUACCAAGGCAACGAUGGUCAGCUGGUCUGAGAGGAUAAUC